ensembl:misc_RNA Metazoa_SRP Metazoan signal recognition particle RNA
GCCAGGUGUGGUGGUGCGCACCUGUAAUCCCAGGUACUCAGGAGGCUGAGGUGGGAGGAUCACCUGAGCCUGGGAGGUCAAGGCUGCAGUGAGCCCUGAUUAUGCCACUGCACUCCAGCCUGGGCAACAGAGUUAGACCCUGUCUCAA